GAUGAACGCUGGCGGCGUGCUUAACACAUGCAAGUCGAACGAUGAAGCCCAGCUUGCUGGGUGGAUUAGUGGCGAACGGGUGAGUAACACGUGAGUAACCUGCCCUUGACUCUGGGAUAAGCGCUGGAAACGGCGUCUAAUACCGGAUACGAGCUUCCACCGCAUGGUGAGUUGCUGGAAUGAAUUUCGGUCAAGGAUGGACUCGCGGCCUAUCAGGUAGUUGGUGAGGUAACGGCUCACCAAGCCGACGACGGGUAGCCGGCCUGAGAGGGUGACCGGCCACACUGGGACUGAGACACGGCCCAGACUCCUACGGGAGGCAGCAGUGGGGAAUAUUGCACAAUGGGCGCAAGCCUGAUGCAGCAACGCCGCGUGAGGGACGAAGGCCUUCGGGUCGUAAACCUCUUUUAGCAGGGAAGAAGCGAAAGUGACGGUACCUGCAGAAAAAGCACCGGCUAACUACGUG
rnacentral:rRNA from 1 species